ACGGGGUGCAGCAGGCGCGAAAACUUGGCAAUGCGGGAAACCGCGACCAGGGGAUUCCAAGUGCAUGCACACUGUGUAUGCUGUUUCAUUGUCUUAAAAACAUAGAAAGUAAGGGCUGGGUAAGACAGGUGCCAGCCGCCGCGGUAAUACCUGCAGCCCGAGUGGUGGCCGAUAUUAUUGAGCCUAAAGCGUCCGUAGCCGGUCUGGUAAAUUCUUGGGUAAAUCGAGCAGCUUAACUGCCCGAAUUCCGAGGAGACUGCCAGACUUGGGACCGGGAGAGGCUAAAGGUACUCCAGGGGUAGGGGCUAAAUCCUGUAAUCCUUGGGGGACCACCAGUGGCGAAGGCGUUUAGCUAGAACGGAUCCGACGGUAAGGGACGAAACCCUGGGGCGCAAACCGGAUUAGAUACCCGGGUAGUCCAGGGCGUAAACGCUGCAGACUUGGUGUUGGGGACCCUACGAGGGUGCCCAGUGCCGGAGUGAAGAUGUUAAGUCUGCCGCUUGGGGAGUACGUCCGCAAGGAUGAAACUUAAAGGAAUUGGCGGGAGAGCACAGCAACGGGAGGAGCGUGCGGUUCAAUUGGAUUCAACGCCGGAAAACUCACCGGGAGCGACGAUUACAUGAAGGUCAAGCCGAUGACUUUACCUGAUUUUUCGAGAGGUGGUGCAUGGCCGUCGUCAGUUCGUACCGUAAGGCGUUCUGU
rnacentral:rRNA from 1 species